AGAGUUUGAUCAUGGCUCAGAAUGAACGUUGGCGGCGUGGAUUAGGCAUGCAAGUCGGACGGGCCGCAAGGCCAGUGGCGUAAGGGUGAGUAAGGCGACGGCAAUCAUCCCCACGGUUGGGUAUAGCCGCGAGAAAUCGCGGGUAAUCCCCAGCGACGCGCGGCGUCGGCAUCGACGCCUCGCCAAAGGCUCGCCGCCGUGGGACGAGCCGUCGUGGUAUUAGGUCGUUGGCGGGGUAACGGCCCACCAAGCCUGCGAUGCCUACCGGGUGUGCGAGCAUGGCCCGGCACACUGGGACUGAGACACUGCCCAGACUCCUACGGGAGGCUGCAGUCGAGAAUCUUCGGCAAUGGGCGCAAGCCUGACCGAGCGACGCCGCGUGGAGGACGAAGGCCUUCGGGUUGUAAACUCCUGUCGAGGGGAAGGAAGGGGCCGCAAGGCCCUUGACCGCUCCCUGGAGGAAGCACGGGCUAAGUUCGUGCCAGCAGCCGCGGUAAGACGAACCGUGCGAACGUUAUUCGGAAUCACUGGGCUUAAAGCGCGUGUAGGCGGGGCGGUGCGUC
rnacentral:rRNA from 1 species